rnacentral:rRNA from 1 species
UCGAGGGGCAGCGGGGAGGUAGCAAUACUUCCGCCGGCGACCGGCGCACGGGUGAGUAACACGUAUGGAACCUGCCCGUAGCAGGGGGAUAAGCGGAAGAAAUUCCGUCUAAUACCGCGUAAUAACUCCGAGAGGCAUCUCAUGGAGUUUAAAGGGUAAUACCGGCUACGGAUGGCCAUGCGGCGCAUUAGCUAGUUGGCGGGGUAACGGCCCACCAAGGCGACGAUGCGUAGGGGUUCUGAGAGGAAGGUCCCCCACACUGGUACUGAGACACGGACCAGACUCCUACGGGAGGCAGCAGUGAGGAAUAUUGGUCAAUGGGCGCGAGCCUGAACCAGCCAAGUCGCGUGAGGGAAGACGGUCCUAUGGAUUGUAAACCUCUUUUGUCGGGGAGCAAAAGGCGCCACGUGUGGCGUUCCGAGAGUACCCGAAGAAAAAGCAUCGGCUAACUCCGUGCCAGCAGCCGCGGUGAUACGGAGGAUGCGAGCGUUAUCCGGAUUUAUUGGGUUUAAAGGGUGCGCAGGCGGAAGAUCAAGUCAGCGGUAAAAUUGAGAGGCUCAACCUCUUCGAGCCGUUGAAACUGGUUUUCUUGAGUGAGCGAGAAGUAUGCGGAAUGCGUGGUGUAGCGGUGAAAUGCAUAGAUAUCACGCAGAACUCCGAUUGCGAAGGCAGCAUACCGGCGCUCAACUGACGCUCAUGCACGAAAGUGUGGGUAUCGAACAGGAUUAGAUACCCUGGUAGUCCACACAGUAAACGAUGAAUACUAAUUGUUCGGGGAGAAUGAUCCCUGAGUGAUACAGCGAAAGCGUUAAGUAUUCCACCUGGGGAGUACGCCGGCAACGGUGAAACUCAAAGGAAUUGACGGGG